AUGAUAAUUAGGCACUUACCCGUACCUGUAAGUAAAAAAAAUAAGAUUGAUCAUCACUGACUCGAUUUGACUGAUCACUAACUUGACAUCGUGGAUCGAAUGUAAUCUGAACUAAUACAGUUACAUUUUAUUUAUAUUCAUAGAUUCCCAAGUGAUCCCAUAAUUAAAGAAAAAUGGAUAGCAGCCACAUGCAGAGGACCUAUUUGGUGGCCAUUAAAAACAAGCACAAUAUGCUCCAUACACUUUACAGAAAAUCAAUUUCGACCGUGUCCAAAAAGUCGUAGGCUUUUUGAAUGGGCAGUGCCGACGCUGAAAUUGCCACAAAAGCCAAACUCAUCUCCAAAACAUGAAAUGAAUUCGGAAACUAAAGAUGUACCCAUGGAUGCCGUAAGAAAGCCACUUGAUGUCGACCAACCGAUUUUGCCUGUAGAGAUCGACUUUAACAAACCAAUAGUCAGUGGUACGGUUAAUCCCCCAGCAAUUAUAGAUUCGUCAUCUCCAAACCAUGAAAUAAAUUUAGAAACUCAAGAUGUACCAAUAGAAGUCUUAAUAAAACCACCCAAUGCCGACCAACCGAUUUUACCUAUGGAGAUCGAAUCAAACAAAACAAUAGGUAGUAGUGCGGUGAACCUCCCCCCA